rnacentral:lncRNA from 1 species
AUGUUUGCAAGGAUCUUCUCAGUCUCCUCUUCAAGGAAACACUCUUCCUAUUUCUCUUUAAAAAGUGGGGUUGAAGGCCCACCAAAGUAUGAGCCCAGUCAUUCUUCACGGAAUUGUCUAAGAGACAGUAAGUGCAGUCGAAGGGACACUUCAAGAGUCAGAGGGAGAGGCUUAAAAUGCUGCUUCUAUCCACCACUUGCUAGACCAUCACCUAGGAUACAGCCCAGUAUGCAUUAA